UGGUAAUGAUUUAAUUGGAGGGGUUUAAGCGAACCACGUAGCCAAUGAAUGAGUGGCUCAUAAUGAGGCUGGCCGCACGUCGAUGUUGAUGCGAGCACUACCCCAAUUUGUAGAUCUUUCUCAGGGAAUGUUCAUGCCACCAGCUCAAGCGUCAAUCAACAACCAUUUUUCUUGAGGGUACGCUACGGAUUGCCUUCCUAUUUUAAGAAUACUGAUAUACAACUGACCGUAGCACAACUCUUCACGGACAUAUAUAUUAUUAACUUUCAAUGUUAAAUUAGGCUUUAACAUGUUUUUAAUUGAGUGAAUUCAGUUUAUGUUACAUGGUGUUUAAUGUUACACGAUAAUUUAUUGUUUUUCCGAAAGAAUUCUACAAUUGGGUGAUUGCUGUAGUUUAUAGUUUAUAUGGUAAAAAUAAAUGUAGUUAAUACAAUUUUAGUAAAAUUUAUUUGUCCUUCCAAUGAAAGUUUUCUGGCUCCGACUCUGUGAAGAUAAUGCAAGCCUAGAUUGGCGGUAAGCCUUAAUUUUACCAUCUAAUUAUGUGACUGAUUUACGUGUACAAUCUGGUCUUUCAUGAAUCAAUACACGAAGUCCCCUUACUCAUUAUGAACAAACAACAUCACUAUAACAAUUAUCAAAGCACCUGAGACCUACUUUUAUGAAGAACAAAAUAUUACUCUUUGAUCCUGGCCUUUGUCAACCACAAGUCUCGCUGUUACUAUUUGGUUUGGAUUAGUAAAAUGGCAGAGCCUGCUAGAGUUCUAGACAACAAGGUUGAUGAUGAGGUGCAGGAAGACACAGAAAUGGAGCUGAACGAAGAAUCGGUAGCAUCGCAAGAAUUGCCGCCAAACUCAGUGUUUACAGCUGAGUUGAACCUCCUUAUCGUGUUUCUCUCAUUGUUUUCUUUGUCAACCGAAGAAAGUUUAAACUCCGUGGAGAGAGAACCAGAAAGAAGAAAUGAUGGAGCUAAAGCUAUCAAGAGAUUACAAAAGAAAAAACGGGAGAUAGAUGAGGUCAAGCCGGUCCGGCGACGAACUCAAAGGUUUCAAACGAGAAUAAGGGAUUCUAGGCAUGGCCGACGAGUAUAAAGAAUGAUGUCGAUGGAGGAAACUGCUCAGCAAGGAAAGAGAUGGCAAACGAUGUCAUACAAAAGUUUCCAAUUUCUCAUAACUAUAUUUUAUCCUAUUUUCCUCUACACUUAUUCCCCACAAUUGGACAAAAGAAAACAAAGGAAAGGCGCAUGCUUGGAAUUCUUUCAAAUAAUAUUAUAAUCAUAUUUGUCCUAUCUUCAUGCAUCAUUCUGUAACGAAAUUGAUUGACAAACACAUUAUAUUGGAUUAUUGAUAUAUAAUGCAUGUUUUUUUCUUC